rnacentral:tRNA from 1 species
GGUUGUGGCUCACUUGGUAGAGUGCUUGCCUAGCAUGUGUGAGGCACUGGGUUCGAUUCUCAGCACCA